rnacentral:rRNA from 1 species
GACAGAGGGUGCAAACGUUGUUCGGAAUUACUGGGCGUAAAGCGAGUGUAGGCGGUUUGGUAAGUCGGAUGUGAAAGCCCCGGGCUCAACCCGGGAAGUGCACUCGAUACUGCCAAGCUAGAGUAUCGGAGAGGUUGGUGGAAUUCUCGGUGUAGAGGUGAAAUUCGUAGAUAUCGAGAGGAACACCGGUGGCGAAGGCGGCCAACUGGACGAAUACUGACGCUGAGACUCGAAAGCGUGGGGAGCGAACAGG